AAUCUGUGAGGGAGGUGAGGGGUUGGGAGACCAAGAGAAGCCUGUCUAAGGUUUAGCCAAGCUAAGGGGAAGGGAAGGCUGCUGGGACAGGUUGAAGCUUUCUGUGGACCCCAGAAAAGAUCCUGUCCUUGGAGCUCAUCCCUGCCUGUGGGCGUGGGGCGCUUAGCUGGGAGGGGUGCAGUUGGGGCCUUUGGCUGGCUGCAGCGAGGCGGGGCCCAGGGUGCGUCUCUGUCCUCUUGCUGGAUCCUUUAUAAACGGAGGACCGAGAGCAGAGACACGUGGAGGGAAAGCUGCAGAGACGGAGAAACCCCGAGAGGCUGGGAGAGAUGAGGGCAGGGGGAGAGUGGAGAGAGCCGUAGGCCUGCUCACCCACAGCUGAGCCAGGGGAGAAAGUGGGCCUGGAGGAGAGGCAGAGACCGGCCCCCUUUUGCCCCGCCACCAGGCGGGGGUCCAGGAACACCAGCUGCCCACCUUGCUGAGGCAGUGCCUCUGAGGAGACCUUGGUUUGGACACUUUCUCGCCUCAGGACUGCAAAGCUUUUAACCUAAUAAAUUCCCAUUAUAAAAGCCAAUCCAUUUCUGGUAUUUUGUUCCCAGCAGCUUUGCGCAAACUAAGGCAGCCGUCUCGGUCACUGACGUAAAUGCCGGGAUUUCUUCACACACCCCAGAGUUCAGGAGAGGACCCUCUUCCUAGCUCCAGGCAAGGCUGUCCCUCGCCAUUGCUGCUCCUGAUGGAAGAGCCUGUGGUGCUUGGCACAAGCUGUGUUCGGUCCCCGUGCUUUCAGCCAUGCGCCCCUCUUCUUCCUUCCUCCGGGAGGAAGCCGGGACCCCAGAACCUUACGAGGAGGUGUCUGAGUCUAGGGCCUGCUGGCUUAACCCUUCGAGUAAUAAAACUCUGUGUUCCUCUGGGGAAAUGCCUGGCCGCGGGGGCCUGGAAGGAGGGCUCCCCGCUUCCUACUAAACCCCGCAUUUGGGCCCUCUGUUUCACCCCGCCCCCCGGGACCUGGCACACGGAAUUCCUGAGCCGUCCCGGGGUGCUGGAGUGCAUCCUUAUCAGCUCUUCCACGGAGGUCUGUUAAAGAUAAAUGCGACUACUUGUUUUUCUGAUUCUUGUUUGUGAAGAACACUGUGGUCGGGUAUAAAAUACCGGGUUGACAGUAAUUUUCCUUCAGCAUUUUGUAGAGCUAUCAGUUCAAAGUCUUUUGACAUGUGUUGUUGCGUCUGAGAAGCUGUUAGCAGCUUGUUUUCCUUUGUGGUCAAUCUUCUUCCCUAGUAGCUUCUAAAAGACUUCUUGCUCUUGUUUUUCAUUAUCACCGAUGUUCUGAAGUCUCACUACAAAAGGUUUACUUUUAUUUACUUUGUUUGGCACUUGCUGUGCCAUGUCUUAGUGCUCAUCUCUUCAAUUCUGAACACUUCUCAGCCAUUACUCCUUCUUAUCGUGCUUCACUGUAUUUCCUCUCUUUCCAUAAUUGGAAUUUCUGAUGGACACAUGUUAAAGCUUCUCCAUUUGGCUUCCAUGUCUUUUAACUCUUCUUUUAUAUUUUCUUUCUCUUGAUCUUUCUGUAUUAUUUUCUUGUCCGGGUCCUCAUUACUAUCUAAUGAUUUACUAAUUCUUUUUUCUUCUGUGUAGCAUUAGUUCUAGUCAUUCAAUUUUUAAAAAUUAUGACCAUAUGUUUUCAUUUCUAGUAUUUUAUUUGGUCCUUCCCUUUAUCCAUCU
ensembl:lincRNA